GGCUGGUCUGAGUACAGUGGUGUUUACAGCUAAAUGAUCACAACCACUUAUGUAUUUCUUUGUUCCUUCUUUACUCCCACUGCUUCACUUGACUAGCCUUAA
ensembl:misc_RNA Y_RNA Y RNA